rnacentral:rRNA from 1 species
GAUGAACGCUAGCUACAGGCUUAACACAUGCAAGUCGAGGGGUAACGAGAGGAAGGCUUGCUUUCCUUGUCGACGACCGGCGCACGGGUGAGUAACGCGUAUCCAACCUGCCCCCAACUAGGGAAUAACCUUGCGAAAGUAAGACUAAUACCCUAUAAUUUCCUCAGAUGUCAUCUGACGAGGAAUAAAGAUUUAUCGGUUGUGGAUGGGGAUGCGUCUGAUUAGCUUGUUGGCGGGGUAACGGCCCACCAAGGCAACGAUCAGUAGGGGUUCUGAGAGGAAGGUCCCCCACAUUGGAACUGAGACACGGUCCAAACUCCUACGGGAGGCAGCAGUGAGGAAUAUUGGUCAAUGGGCGGAAGCCUGAACCAGCCAAGUAGCGUGCAGGAUGACGGCCCUAUGGGUUGUAAACUGCUUUUAUACAGGAAUAAAGUUAGCCACGUGUGGUUAUUUGUAGGUACUGUAUGAAUAAGGACCGGCUAAUUCCGUGCCAGCCGCCGCCGUAA